CGAAGCACCGCGAAGAACCUACCAGGUCUUGACAUCCUUUGAAGAUGUUAGAAAUAACAUUGGCUCUUCGGAGCCAAAGUGACAGGUGGUGCAUGGUCGUCGUCAGCUCGUGUCGUGAGAUGUUGGGUUAAGUCCCGCAACGAGCGCAACCCUUAUUGUUAGUUGCCAGCAUUUAGUUGGGCACUCUAGCGAGACUGCCGGUGACAAACCGGAGGAAGGCGGGGACGACGUCAGAUCAUCAUGCCCCUUAUGACCUGGGCUACACACGUGCUACAAUGGCGUAUACAACGAGUCGCAAACCCGCGAGGGUAAGCUAAUCUCUUAAAGUACGUCUCAGUUCGGAUUGUAGUCUGCAACUCGACUACAUGAAGUCGGAAUCGCUAGUAAUCGCGGAUCAGCAUGCCGCGGUGAAUACGUUCCCGGGUCUUGUACACACCGCCCGUCACACCAUGGAAGUUUGUAAUGCCCAAAGCCGGUGGCCUAACCUUUUGGAGGGAGCCGUCUAAGGCAGGACAGAUGACUGGGGUGAAGUCGUAACAAGGUAACCAAGGGCGAAUUCCAG
rnacentral:rRNA from 1 species